GGCCGCCAGGCGAGACUCCGCGGGAAAACUCCCUGCUAGAGAGACUAGGAGAUUUGGGGCUGCGGCCGUUUCCUCCGGAGCACCCACGGGACUGUGUGCUGGGGUCCCUCCACCGGCUGUGUCCUUUAUUCUUCUUUCUCACCCAACGAUUUACCUGAACGGUUAUAAAGUGCACGUUAUUUCCCUAAGGUCCUUCUUACUGAUGUGUUGCUCUUCUUCAUGGCUCGUGAAAACUAUUAGAGUCAUCCAAGGUCCUGACAUCCACUGCCUUCACUCAAACCCUUCUGGCCAGUUCCAUCCUACAGAUUCUAAGUUCCUGACUCAGAAUCUUACUGUUGUGAACCUUUACACCCAGGUUUGGAGACAGAAAGGAGCACCGCCAAGUGAGGCAGAGCAGUCUCAGAAACAUAGGAAAAUGACUGUGAAGACAACCAGAGUGGGAAGGAACCUCAGAAACCUUUGGACCAACAGAGGAAAAAGCCCAGAGGUGCAGGACAUAGAUCAAAACCAGUCGCAUGCGAGUCAUUCUAGGAUCCGGCCAAAGUUAAUUAACAGAGGGCCAUUCAGUCUCCACCGAGUCAAACAAUAAUUAGGUUAGUUAGGGUCUUUGAGCCCCAACACAGUCUAGACUCUGAGACACUGCAAUAUAACAAUAUUCUUCUGGUUUCUUCUCCAUUCCAAAUCUAUCUUCCUAAAAUACUAAAUUUUAAGAGUGAAAGUGAACUUGUGAACAUAAACAGGUAAAAUGUGGGUGUGUGUCCAGAAUGGUGACAGACAGGGAGAACUGCUGAAUAUAACUUAUCAGAACCUUACAAACUGGCCUUCCCUCAUGAUCCACCUAGGGUUUCUUUUUACUAGUCAGGUUCCACAGGAAAAUGUGAGAACUUAUACUUAGGGAAGAAAGACAUUACUCAGGUCCCUGCAAGGCUGGAAAAUGGGAAUGAUUCUCCACUUUCCCCUCCAGAUUUAAGCACUACAAAGACUGUCAACAUCUCUUGGCAUUUUGUACAGUACAGAGAGAUAGACACCCUACAUUGUGUAAUGUUUAUAUUUAAUAUCAGUGCUGCUUUCCGUCUCCAUUGAGUUCCCACAUUCAGCUCACUCACAGCGCUCCAAAGGCCUAGGAUAAGUGACCUGUGUGAAGACAUGGGGAGGCGGUUCUGGAGCACCUUCAGGUACUCCUCAGGAACUGAUGUUUUUUCACUUGUUGUUUGCCUAAGGCCAAGUUCUCUUUACCCGAAGGCAUCAUUCAGCCCCCCUUGCUAGGUAAUAAAGCACAAUAUUUUGUAGCGCUGGUCACAGUUGGUUCACAUCCUGGCUGUGUGACCUCGAGCAUC
rnacentral:lncRNA from 1 species